CUUAUUAGGGAAUUUUCGUCAAUGGGGGGAACCCUGAACGAGCAAUGCCGCGUGAGUGAUGAAGGAUUUCGGUCUGUAAAGCUCUGUUGUAAAGGAAAAACGGCCACCAUAGGGAAUGAUGGUGGAAUGAUGGUACUUUACCAGAAAGCCACGGCUAACUACGUG
rnacentral:rRNA from 1 species